AAAUCAUGAGUCGGAAACUUCUGUAGAUAUUCUUUAAAUCUCUCCUAAGCUUCAUAUAAUUGUUCCCCCGGUUGCCGUUUGAAUUCAUAGAUUUUGUCACGAUCU